AUGGAGCUGACCUGGCGAGAGAGGAAGCAGGACGGGCUGGGAGGUACUUUAGAGGGGCAGUCAGGGGAGGCUGCUCGGAGGAGGUGUCAUAGCAGCAGUGAUUCCAAUGAGAAGGAGCUGGCCAAGCCAAGACUGAGGGAACCUCACGACAGAUGCUGUCACAGGGACUCAGAGGUGAAAGGCUCGCCCAGGUCAGUCUCACUGGUAUCCACAGGGUGCGACCCUAAACUGGAAAGGGAAAUGAACCCCAUUUCCCAGCAGCCUUUGCCACUCUCUGUCUCUAGAGACCCAGACGCAGGCCCGUGUGGUCCUCCAAGCUGGGGACGAUGGGAUCAGCAUGGACGCGGUAGCCCUGGUGGCCCAGCCAGUGAAUGGCCCCCUGGAGCUGGUGGUGAAUGUCAGCCACACGGCACCUCUUCUCCGGAGGCUGGGCCUGCCCUUUGCCAGCCAGCUCAUGUUCUGGGAGCUCUGGGGAAAGGAAGAGAUGCAUUCUUCCCUGCAGCUCACGUGCGAUUCUCAAACCAGCCUGGUCCUCAACAUCCAAGGCCACAACCAGGCACUCAGGUGAGGGCUUUGCCACACUCUGGGAGCCCCAGGGGAAGAGGAAUGAGUGAGGGAGAGGCCUCAGCUGAGCACCUGACCCACAGCACUGCUUCAAACCCUCCCCACAGCCCCACUGUACAGAGGUGGAAAGGGAGGCUCAGAGAGGCCAAAUGACUUGCCCGAGGUCACACAACUAAUAAAACAUCUUUGACCUCUGGGGCUCGGGAUACGAAUGAGGAGUUCUUAUUCUCCCAAGCUAAAUGCAUCCCAGGCCUCGAAUAGUAAUAACUAGUAUGGCUCUUCAGUCUGGGAACCUUCUGGGGCGCCAUGAAGUCAGGUGGGUCACCAGGCUCCAGGUGAUGGAGGGCGAUGAGGAAACUGCUGGUAAUGAUAUAGACCAGCGGUUCUCAGCCUGGGGCAUUGGGCAGUGUCUGGGGAAAGGUCCGGUUGUUACAGCCAGGAAGGAGGGUCUACUGGCUCCUCGCAGGCGGGGGCCGCAGCUACUGCCAGACCUCCUGGAAUGCGCAGGUCAGGCCACAACGAUGACUGGUGUGGCCCACGGUGUCAGCCGUGCUGAGGUUGGCACACGUGGUGUAGGGACACGCCUGGACAGGGCAGCCCCCAGGGCAGGUGGCAGUGGGGAGCCAUGAGUGCCUGGCCUGAGGAGCCGAGGGAGGGGAGCUGUGAGCCCAGGGCUGCAGGAGGGGGCCAGGCUUAAAGUUCGCUGUCCAAAGCGAGAGGGCCCCAUGGGUGGGCCCACAGAAGACCUGCCGCUGAGUACCACCCAGCCCCUGUGCUGGAGGGGAGACGGAGGCACUUGCCCACCAUGCCAGGACCAGGCGGAGGCCAAGCUGGAAUGCAAACGUGCAUCGCUGCAGCCCUGAUCGUUGUAGCCCACGGCCGUCAGGCCUCCGGGCAUGUUAAUAGCCCUUCAUUGGGUUGCUGCCAUGUUCUGGGUCUCCAGCCCUCUGCUGGGGUGGUUGGCUUGGUCCUGACCCGGCCUGCACAGGGCGCCCUCAAGCCAGGCCUCUCACGCCUUCUUUGCUUCCAGCAAAGAGCUGCGGCUCUCCGGCCAGCAUCACCUCCCUGUCCUCCUUGGCCGCUGCCCCAGCAGAGCCUCCGCCUCAGCCAAGGUAACCGUGUCCCGGCCACCCCUGAGCCCCUAACUGGUUCCAGAUGCCCUGCCCGAGGCGGGUGGGGGCCGCGCAGGCCGGCCCCGCUGCUGCGGAGUGUUAACACAUCACAUGUGUCCCCCGGCCUGCAGCAGGCCCCGCUGGGCCACCCUCGGAAACCCCUGGCUCCAGGUUUCCCAAACAGGCCCGGGUUUACAUUCCUGGGCCGGCCUUGCAGCCCCCACCGGGGCCCACGAGACCCCCAGGAGCCAGGGGAGUCUUGCCCACCAGUGCCUGGCGCCACCUCCCCCCAGCCUGGCACGCUCCUGGGCGCUGGAUGACGCGGCC
ensembl:lncRNA